rnacentral:rRNA from 1 species
UCGCUUCUUACCCUUUGUUGACAUACCUCAACUGGUUGCUUCGGCGGGUAGGGGCCCCGCUGAAAAGGGCCGCUCCCGGCCGGCCGNCCGCGUCACGCAGGGAUGGACGGCGCCCGCCGGAGGAUAACCAAACUCUGAUUUAACGACNUUUCUUCUGAGUGAUACAAGCAAAAUAAUCAAAACUUUUAACAACGGAUCUCUUGGUUCUGGCAUCGAUGAAGAACGCAUCGAAAUGCGAUAAGUAAUGUGAAUUGCAGAAUUCAUGUGAAUCAUCGAAUCUUUGAACGCACAUUGCGCCCGCCAGCAUUCUGGCGGGCAUGCCUGUUCGAGCGUCAUUUCAACCCUCAAGCACUGCUUGGUGUUGGGGCCCUACNGUUGACCUAUGCCCUCAAAGGUAGUGGCGGACCCUCCCGGAGCCUCCUUUGCGUAUUAACUUUACGUCUCGCACUGGGAUCCGGANGGACUCUUGCCGUAAAACCCCCCAAUUUUUACAAGGUUGACCUCGGAUCAUGUACGAAUACCCGCUGAACUUAAGCAUAUCAAUAAACCGGAGGAA